AGUAUUAAAGGUCCCGCCUGCCCAGUGAAAUAUUUUAAACGGCCGCGGUAUCCUAACCGUGCAAAGGUAGCGUAAUCACUUGUCUUCUAAAUAAAGACUAGUAUGAACGGCUAAAUGAGGACAAACCUGUCUCUUACAGCUAAUCAGUGAAACUGAUCUUUCAGUACAAAAGCUGAAAUAAACACAUAAGACGAGAAGACCCUGUGGAGCUUUAAACAAACUGCUAAUAAAACCCACAAUGUACUAGCCUUAAGUUUUAAGUUGGGGCGACUUCGGAACCAAACAAAACUUCCGAGCAGAGAACCACCACUUCUCACCAAGGCCAACAAGCCAAAGUACCAAACCGACCCAGUCAUACUGACCAACGAACCAAGUUACCCCAGGGAUAACAGCGCUAUCUUCUUCAAGAGUUCCUAUCGACAAGAAGGUUUACGACCUCGAUGUUGGAUCAGGACACCCAAAUGGUGCAGCCGCUAUUAAAGGUUCGUUUGUUCAA
rnacentral:rRNA from 1 species